GCAGUGGGAGCCCAUGAAAAGUCAGUGUUUCUGGCCUGCUGGUCUCUCUUGGAACCCCAUCUUUUUUGUUCUCCCUUGGGAUUUAUAUUGAGUUGCCCAUGAUUCUCUAUGCUCAGCAGUGUCUCGUCUCACUGUCUGGAAGCUGCAGAGAAGGUAUAGUCUGGUAUGGGAGCCUGAGUGAGCGAGCUUUGGGGUCAGAACCGCAGAAGCCUUUGCUUUUGGAGGAACUCCUGUUCCCAUGGCAACUGCAGGCCACAUCUCAUCUCCAGGACGACCGGGCACCAUGCUUAUAGAGCCAGGGAAGAGGGCCGCCAGACGUGAGUGUGGGACAGCUCUGCGAAGGUUCCAAGGAGAGAGAGAUCACCCCAACCUUCCUGGGCUUGGAGAUUCCCAGCAGGUGCAGCCUGGUCCAUUCCUCACAGUCGCCCAACACCAGUCACCUCUGUGAACGAGGGCCAUGCCGUCCAGCCAAGCCUCCCAGCCAGCCUCAGUCUCUGGGACAAAGUAAACUCAGCCCUGCUGGGUGUUACAACUCCUCCAAGUUCCUUCAAAGACAGAACCCCGCUGGCUGUUCAGGAUCAGGUUCGAAGUUACUUGUGUGAGCCUGUACCACGCUUCUUUCCAAUUUUAAUGGAAUUAUACGUUGUUCCUUUUUCUUUCCAGUUCCAUGGAUCACCCCCCAUUAGCAACCUCAAGGAAAGUUCUUGAAAGAAAAACAUUCACAUGGUCCCGGCCCCCUCCCUGUCAGGACACCUCCCCCGAAUGCCCCUGCUUCUGUUGGUGGUUGGUUCUCUCGUGAUUGUCCCUUUCUCCUCCAAGUUGAAACAGGGGCUUCCGAGGGCCAGCCUGUGUUGGAGACCUGGUGCCAAAGGGACUUGGGCAGCUCAUGGCUAAGCUGUCAAGGCCCAUGGUCUCCAACACACCAUGCUGUCUGGUGCAAAUAUGAUGAGUCACAUUUGUCAUUUAAAAUUUUCCUGGAGCCACAUUUUAAAAAGUAAAAACCAACAGACGAAGUUAACAUAAUGAUAUAUUUAUUUAACCC
rnacentral:lncRNA from 1 species